GUUCACUAGAAGAUUAAGGUGAAUAAGGAGAGGUUAAGCGCAACUUUUGAAAUCAGCCACUACUUUCCGCUACAAAUUGAAAAUGGGGGCUGCAGGACUCAUAAUGAUACUUCUGAUGCUAAAAGUUACAGCUGCACAAACCAGUAUCACAGCCACUCCUACAACAACAACUGCUCCUCCUACCACAACAACUGCUGCGCCUACAAUGACAACAGCUGCUCCCACCACAACAACAGCUGCUCCUACCACAACAACAGCUGCUCCCACCACAACA